rnacentral:rRNA from 1 species
UACGAAGGGGGCUAGCGUUGUUCGGAAUUACUGGGCGUAAAGCGCACGUAGGCGGAAUGUUAAGUCAGGGGUGAAAUCCCGGGGCUCAACCCCGGAACUGCCUUUGAUACUGGCAUUCUCGAGUCCGGAAGAGGUGAGUGGAAUUCCGAGUGUAGAGGUGAAAUUCGUAGAUAUUCGGAGGAACACCUGCGGCGAAGGCGGGUUGCUGGGCCGACACUGACGCUGAGGCGCGAAAGCCAGGGGAGCGAACGGG